CCGAUUAAUGUUAAAAUUAUCUGGACUCUCUCUCUCAUAUGUCUGAACAUCCUCUCGUGUGAAAUAAUCUCCUGAUUAUCCACCUGUGAACCUCUCUUUCUAUCCUCUUGUGCUCCUCUCUCUCUAAACUCCUCCCAUUCGAAAUCUUGCAUAGGCCCCUCCAUUUUCUCUCCCCCUCUGUUGCUUCUCUCUCCUGCCAAACCCAUCUCAUCCCCUCUGGGAUUCUAGGGCAAACCCAUUGCAUCCAGAUCACUCUCCACCCCUUUCUCUAUCUCUUUUCUAAAUUGUGGUUGUUCAUCGAAGGGAAACCCCCUAUGUCCAGAGCUGAGGCCCUGGCAAGGGUUGACUUUCUCAUGCAAAAUGUUCAGAUUGUGUGCACGGAGAAGCAUGACGUGAGUUCUUUGUAUAGAGGAAUAUACUUCAACUUAUAAUAGAGAACAUUCGGAGAAAAGAGAAUGCAACUCGGAAGAAGGAGGAUGACGUAUUGUUGUGCGAGUAUGAAGCUUGUAAAAGAGAAGAUAAACAAAGAAAGAGAGAUACAAAUGUUGACAUGGUUAAGUAUAAACUUAGAGAGAGAGAGAGAGUAGGAUUGCAAUAAUAUUAUGGUGUUUGUACUGGGUUGUAUCUAUUGUAAAUUUGUAAUAGUUUCCGCUUGGUUCAGAUAAAAUAUAGGGCACAUGUAAAUAGUUGGAUAUUUUUUCUAUGAUUUUUGUAUGGAUCAUGUGUAAUGUCCUACCCUUUUCUCUC